rnacentral:misc_RNA from 1 species
UGCCCCCCCAUGGCUCAGCUCCUCUUUAAAUGCAUAUGCGGAACCUUUGAUUGCGGAUCAGCUCCAGCGUGAUAAUUAUCUACGUUGCCGCGGUGAAGCAGUUGGAUCUGCCUACAACCGUUGCACACUUGCAACAGGGGCUUAACCUAAACCUUUGACAAUUUGACCUCAAAUCAGGUAGGAUUACCCGCUGAACUUAA